rnacentral:lncRNA from 1 species
GAGAGGUCUCUUCUCCUGUAUCAACGUAUGCUCUGUUCUUCAGCUCCUCAUAACGCGUAUACUUUUCCGUCUCUUCUCAAAGCUUGUUCGAACCUAUCUGCAUUUGAAGAAACAACGCAAAUUCACGCACAGAUCACGAAACUUGGAUAUGAAAAUGAUGUCUAUGCAGUGAAUUCUCUGAUUAAUUCAUAUGCUGUGACCGGGAAUUUCAAGCUAGCUCACCUUCUCUUUGACAGAAUCCCCGAACCUGAUGAUGUCUCGUGGAACUCUGUGAUCAAAGGUUAUGUAAAAGCUGGAAAAAUGGAUAUUGCAUUAACGUUAUUCAGGAAAAUGGCAGAAAAGAAUGCUAUAUCAUGGACUACGAUGAUCUCUGGGUAUGUUCAAGCAGACAUGAACAAGGAAGCUCUGCAAUUGUUUCAUGAAAUGCAGAAUUCAGAUGUUGAGCCUGAUAAUGUUUCCCUAGCUAAUGCUCUCUCAGCUUGUGCUCAGCUCGGAGCACUCGAGCAAGGGAAAUGGAUCCAUUCCUAUCUUAAUAAGACAAGAAUCAGAAUGGACUCUGUUUUGGGUUGUGUUCUUAUAGAUAUGUAUGCAAAGUGCGGUGAAAUGGAAGAAGCUUUGGAAGUUUUCAAGAAUAUUAAGAAAAAAUCAGUGCAAGCAUGGACAGCUUUGAUUUCAGGAUAUGCAUACCAUGGCCAUGGAAGAGAAGCUAUUAGCAAAUUCAUGGAGAUGCAAAAGAUGGGAAUUAAGCCAAAUGUGAUCACUUUCACUGCGGUUCUCACGGCUUGCAGCUACACAGGACUAGUUGAAGAAGGAAAGUUGAUAUUCUACAGCAUGGAGAGAGAUUACAACCUGAAACCGACCAUCGAGCAUUAUGGCUGUAUUGUUGAUUUACUCGGUCGAGCUGGAUUGCUUGAUGAAGCAAAACGUUUCAUUCAGGAGAUGCCAUUGAAGCCAAAUGCUGUGAUAUGGGGUGCGUUGCUCAAAGCCUGUCGAAUUCACAAAAACAUCGAAUUGGGAGAGGAAAUUGGAGAAAUCUUAAUUGCAAUAGAUCCAUAUCAUGGCGGAAGAUAUGUUCAUAAGGCAAAUAUUCAUGCUAUGGAUAAAAAGUGGGACAAAGCAGCUGAAACAAGAAGAUUGAUGAAAGAACAAGGAGUAGCAAAAGUUCCAGGAUGUAGUACAAUUAGCUUGGAAGGGACCACACACGAGUUUUUAGCGGGAGACCGAUCACACCCAGAGAUAGAGAAAAUUCAAUCUAAAUGGAGAAUCAUGAGAAGGAAACUUGAGGAAAACGGGUACGUACCAGAGUUAGAAGAGAUGCUGCUUGAUCUAGUUGAUGAUGAUGAAAGAGAGGCUAUUGUGCAUCAGCAUAGCGAGAAAUUGGCUAUUAC